AUUGAACGCUGGCGGCAGGCCUAACACAUGCAGGUCGAACGGUAGCAGGAAGAAGCUUGCUUCUUCGCUGACGAGUGGCGGACGGGUGAGUAAUGUCUGGGAAACUGCCUGAUGGAGGGGGAUAACUACUGGAAACGGUAGCUAAUACCGCAUAACGUCGCAAGACCAAAGAGGGGGACCUUCGGGCCUCUUGCCAUCGGAUGUGCCCAGAUGGGAUUAGCUUGUUGGUGGGGUAACGGCUCACCAAGGCGACGAUCCCUAGCUGGUCUGAGAGGAUGACCAGCCACACUGGAACUGAGACACGGUCCAGACUCCUACGGGAGGCAGCAGUGGGGAAUAUUGCACAAUGGGCGCAAGCCUGAUGCAGCCAUGCCGCGUGUAUGAAGAAGGCCUUCGGGUUGUAAAGUACUUUCAGCGGGGAGGAAGGGAGUAAAGUUAAUACCUUUGCUCAUUGACGUUACCCGCAGAAGAAGCACCGGCUAACUCCGUG
rnacentral:rRNA from 1 species